AUUGAACGCUGGCGGAAUGCUUUACACAUGCAAGUCGAACGGUAGAGGGGGCAACCCCUCGAGAGUGGCGAACGGGUGAGUAAUAUAUCGGAACGUGCCCAGUCGUGGGGGAUAACGUAGCGAAAGUUACGCUAAUACCGCAUACGAUCUAAGGAUGGAAGCGGGGGAUCGCAAGACCUCGCGCGAUUGGAGCGGCCGAUAUCAGAUUAGGUAGUUGGUGGGGUAAAGGCUCACCAAGCCAACGAUCUGUAGCUGGUCUGAGAGGACGACCAGCCACACUGGAACUGAGACACGGUCCAGACUCCUACGGGGGGCAGCAGUGGGGAAUUUUGGACAAUGGACGCAAGUCUGAUCCAGCCAUUCCGCGUGCAGGAUGAAGGCCCUCGGGUUGUAAACUGCUUUUGUACGGAACGAAAAGGUCUCUCUUAAUACGGGGGACUCAUGACGGUACCGUAAGAAUAAGCACCGGCUAACUACGUGCCAGCCGCCGCCGUAA
rnacentral:rRNA from 1 species